AGAAAAGUAGGCCGGGGGUUUUUCCGGGAAAAAUUUAGAUUUCCUUUUGUAGAAUAAUAGAUUAAAUCCGGUUAUCAUCAUUUAAAUCAUAGAAAUUUCUAGGGGUGUCCAAAAUUAGUGAAACCAAUUUUAUUAGGAUUGUUUUAUUUUCCUUUAUGCAUUAAAAUUUUUAUACCCUAGGAAAAAUAAUAAAAAUUUAGGUAUUUGUUUAAUGCCUUUCUUUUAAGGUAUUUAAAUAAAUACUUAAUCUUUAUUAAAUGCAUAAAAUAUGGAAUAACAUUUUCAUAAUCACAAUUAUUGUUAACUCAUAGGAAAUUAGGUUUCAAGACUAGAAAAUAAUUAUAACAUUUUCUAAAAAUAAAAGAAAGAGCCUUAGGUAAGGUUAGUAAAGGAAAUAAAAAUGGUGGGUUAAUCUUUUCGGGUUUUUGUGUGUUGG
rnacentral:lncRNA from 1 species